UUUUCUAGUAUUACAUGACAGCUUGGGGUCAAGAGAACUUGACUGGGAAGUGAAACACCCAAGUUCAAUUCUUCAUUCUCUAGGUUUUAAAGACCUACCUCUUACCACCUCUGGGAGCAACUGGGAGGAUCUUGGCUGAUAUAAGGCAGUAAUAUUUCCAAGUAAAUAGGAGAUGGGCCAAGCAGUUCCCUCUGAAUUACUGUUCAUCAGGCUUUCACACUCUAUUAAGGUCUCCACUCCCAUCACCUUCUCCUGAGUUUUAAGUCUGCUGUCUCCCUACCUAGAGGAUGAUUUGGGUCACACAGCCAAAAAGAUCUUCGCUGGCAUCUAGAAGACUCAUGCAGAGAAGCAAGGAGCUGGAAGGAUAAGAUGGGAAAAAUUAUAAUGUCCGAAGAAUAAUUAGUUUGUGGAUGCAGAACUAGAAGAUGUUAAGGAGAAACACAUUUUCUGAAAAGUAAUGCUGAAGGUCAUGUCCUCAAUGUAUUUGUGUAUUUCUUUCUAGCGCAACUGGGGGUGAAAUGACACAGGUCAAUAUUGGGAAUUCAUAUUGAAAUUCUUGCCUAACUCUUGUUUCUCUGAGUAUUCUGCUGAAUUCUUUGUGGCUGUCCACAGCGGCAGAAGGGAGCAAAUCCAUUGUCCUGCACCAGCCCUUGCAGAUCUUUAAGUCCAUGUGAAAUUUGCAGGUUCCACCAAAUGGUGGAUGUGUUGUUACAUAUAUUGCAUAUGUAUUGCAUAACACAUACAUGUAUAUGUAUUGUAUAACCCUUAUAUUAUUAUCCCUGACUUUCCUGCACUUCAGUUUCCCCACUGGGAACUGGUAGGACCUUAUCUUUAAGGAUCAUCCCUGGAGGUCACUCAAGGGUAGUACCAUCAUGGCAAUGUAAUCUGGAUGCAUAUUCUUUUCUCCGGCUUAUUUCCAUGGUGCCAGUAAUACUGUGCAUGGUCCUACUUAACCUGCUCUGUCCCUCUCUGUUUCAGGGGAGAAUAUGGCCCGGGGCAUCCUUCCGUUCCAUGUAUCACGCUUCCAUUUCCCUUCACCCCGCAGGAGAUAAAGAACUUCAGAUUGAUGGAAGAGCUGACCUGUUUUGGGGUAUCAGGAUCUGGGUGUCAAGCGGGCUGGAGCCUGCAAUGCCUUUAGCUGGAACAGAGGACUCUAUUGCUUCAGAGAACUGAGUCCAGCAUUAUUUAACUAAGGCCAAAGGCAAGUCAAAAACUGUUUUAGGUUUAUAAUCAAAAUUUCCUGGUUUUCAACCCUUUGCUCAUUCCACUCAACCAUACUGGCUCUCUGAAGUGCUAGCGGUGCGGAAGGAAGAAGAUGCUUUAUGAUCCUUGAUGACUAUAAAGUAGCAAAUAAAGCUCUAGGGUGCUUUCAAGCUCACAGUGAUUUCAUGGGGUGGAAAAUUAAUCAUGCAGCAGUUACUGAAGAAUAUAUUUUUUUUACAUUAGCUGCUUGGGUCUUUUUCCAAACCAGAAGAUGAUAAAGCGCUUCCCAAUACUGGAUGAAGACAAAAGAAAGUGUCAUCAACACAAGCAGUAAAAUAAGCUGAAUAAGCUUGUUUGGACUCCUGGUUACUAAUCUAAUCCUUUUACAAUCAUUUUUGGCUCUAGAAAUAAGAACUAUUUGCAAAAUAAACAUUUUUUUUAAUGCCCCAGUCAGAUUAUUGCAAAUGUUGAAUCUCAUAUCCUUGAUCUAGUCUUUCAAACUUCAAUAACUGCCAAUCUUUACUUACUACAGAAUGUUGGUAUACUCUGCGUAAAUCUAUGGACACUUAAAUUUUUGGAAAGUGCUUAUAAAUUGUUCCCUACAGUCAAUAUACAUCAGUAGAUACAGCUAAAAUAAAACAGACAGUGGUUUGAGGUUUCUGGAGACUCCCAAUAUUCCUACUGAAAAAAAAAAAUCUUAGCUUUAUUUUUUCCACUGCUAUUUCACAGACCAGUUUUCUUACAUCAUAGAUCUUUCUUGAGACCUCUAUCAUAUUGCAAAUAUUGGGGAUCUCUUUGGGGCCCCAGAUUGUCUAUGUGGAGGAUAAUUCUCAAAUGCUCAAGGUUCAUAUACACAGGGUUUAUUUUCCAGCUGAAAGUUGUCCUUAUCUAAAUGAGGCCAUCUGGGGUUUCCGGCAUGGUUACAGUCUCCUUGUAAGCCUGAACAUUCCCCUUUUCAUAGGCUGCAGAAGCCCAUGAGCACUGGGAUUUCAUAUGCUCUGAGCAAGGUCAAACUUAGCAUUUUCCACCAAUGUCAUUACAUCAGUGCAGCAUGGAUGAAGAAUGGAAAUCAUGCUGUUGUUACAGCAAAGCCAGCUCCCUGGUUUUGCAGUGCUGCCACCCUUUCAUCAUCGUGUUGCACCUCUGCCACCUUCCCAACGCUUGGGUCAAAACCUAAUUACUGAAUUUGGAAGGGAGGUUAACUUUUUGAGUAGUACCUGUCUUCAACUUAACCAAGCAUUUUUUCUUGAAACAAAAUGGAGCCCAGUUGCCAAGCAAUUUAUAUUUACCUGUUCCUUGAAUUUCAGCAAUAGAAGGAUCCUUUUACCCUAAUUAAAAUUCUAGGAUCAAGGCUGUAUAAUUACCAAUAUUUUUCUCUUUUAAUUGCAGUCUGUUAGUCUAAGAAGGUGCUACACAUCUGUGGCACCAGACCACUUCCACCACAGGCUCCUAGUAAGGAGAAAAUCUGGGACUUCACCAAGAAUAACUUAAAGCAGGAGAAACCAAAUGAUCACAAGAUGGAAGAAAUACUAAAACAAAAACAGACUCAGAGAAGCCCAUUGGUCAUCGUCAGGUUUUUCAGCUCUUCUAGUGCCAAGCUGUAGUAUGUGCUAGAUAUUUCUGAAGAGCUGUGUGCAGGCAGAAGGUCAUGAAUAACUGUGGGGGUUGGCACCGGCUGAGUUACAACAGUUCCCAUGAAAUACUUUGUCUUGCAGCCAGCUGUUUCCUGACAUAAGCAGCCACAAUCCUUGUUAGCCCACUGCCCAACAACAAAUUUAAUUUGGAGUUAAAUAACUCAGCAAGUUGAGAAAACUGAAUCAUAAGAAAAGUUUUUUUUUUUUUUUUUUUUUUUUUUUUUUUAAUGAUAAAUUCAUGUUUUGUAACUUAUGGAUGCAGAACAAGAUCUCAUUAUGUAUUUUGUUACAAACCUUGUGUAAAUUAGUAAAAGCAGUUCAAACUGUAUAUAAUGUUGUGGUAUUCUCUGAAUUUCUACUGUAGGACUUACCUUCACUGUAUUUCAUGUUCUUCAUCCUCCUCGGAAGUGCGGAGCCUGUAGCUCAUUGUCAUAGCCGAACUCUUGACUAACAAGCAUGGUCUAAGUGCAGACCCUUAUCCAUGGCUUAUGGCUACUGUUGUUUAUUCCCAUUCGUGCAGAGUUCAGUGAGGGGAAUGAGAAAAUGGAUGAUUUAUUUGCCCCAGUGCCUGCUUAUUUGGGCAUCCAAGAUAUUGGAUCAAAUACAUCCAAUACAUUUCAUUGUAGUAUCUGACCCACUAUGUAUUCAAAACUAGAUGGAGCUGUAAUUCUCCCCCUGUACACCUCAUCCACUUGACAAAAUGUGGUUGCUUAUUUAGUAGAUGUGUUGGAGCUUGGCUUCUUUUUGGGGAAAGUUCCCAGCUGUGUGCAGCCUCUGAACAGUUUCCAUCCCUCCCUAGGAAGCAGUGCCUGCAUUUACCAGUGCUUCCACAGAAAAGUAGGUAUCUUUGGGCAGCCUUUAAUGGGGAGGGAAGGAGCUGCUGAUUAGGGUGAAAUCCUGGGAGUACUUUGAGUGUCAAACAAUGUUCAGUCUAUUUGGUGCAG